UAAUGUAAUACUACACUCGCAUAUUAUGUACAAAGUGAGUAGAAUUUCUUAUAGUGACUUUAAUUUUUAUAGUUAGAGUUAUACGACAAUUGGCAUUUGACAUAAGAAUCCUACGUCCAUUAAAAAAGAACAAAGAAAGCCAAUUGAAGCGUGAAUUUAAGAUACGCAUCGUUAAGUAUAUGCAAAGUUAAGUAUGCACAGAAGUUAAAGUGCAAUAUAUUAUAAAUUGUAUGCUUGCUGCGUUACUUACUGUAAAAUAAUGAAUACAACACAAGAACAAAAAGAAAAGAUGUUGCAAUGGAUGAAAUUAAAUCUAGAUGUAGCAAGAGGUAGAUUGCGUAGGAAAGAAGAAAGCAAGAAGCAAAUGGCAACAUUACUAGAAGACUUAUCAAACACAAUGAAUUCCGCUCACAACGGUCUAGUUAAAACCAGUUCUGAAUGGUAUAAGGUAUAAAUCAAUUUUCUUUUUCCUAUCAUUCUUAUCAAUAAAUAUAUACAUUUCAAUUUAUAUAAUUUUAUUUGAGUUAUAGUUACAUAAUACAUAUUUUAACCGUGCCUAAUACAUAUUUAAACCUACGGAUCGAAAAGAAGACGCAGGUCCGACUGCCACGUAAAAUGUGUUAAUGUAACAUACUUGUUUUUACAGUGUAGGUUAAAUUAAAUUAAAAGUAGCUUAUUUUAUGUUUCAAGACCUGGAAGGAUUGGAAAAUGUACAUCUUAAAGAAGGAAACAAAGCGAAGAAUUUAUAGUGUACAAACAGGUGGAGGCUCACCAAAACAGAUUUUUUUUCUGAUUUGAAAGAAAGAUUAUUACAGUUUUUAACUGCGGAAGCAGCUGGAUUAGAAGAUAUUCCACAAGGAGGGAUAUACUUAAAUAAAAAUAUAAAUUUUGGUUCGCAAAAAUCUAAUAAUAGCAAUAUAAUGGAAAGAGAAUGUUCAUACUUUGAAGAAAAUGAAAAUGUCGCACCGUAUAAAAGAUUACGUCCAAAUGUAAACACAAGUGCCACUAACUUUAAAGAACCGAAAUUACAAUCAAUGACUAAUAAAAUGAUUUUAUUGCAAGAAGACAAAAUAACAUUAAAAUAAGAAGAGAUACAUAUACAAUGUGAGCUUUUGGAAAUCCACAGAUCAGCGUUAGGUGAAUUGCAAAAAAUACGGAGUAUCUUGGACACAUUUGGUUCUUUGCAAUAAGCAUAAAAGUAGUUUUAGAUUAUACAUAGCAAAAUGUUUUUUUUUUCAUUUAAGUGUUAAUUCUUUUUUUUUUUUUUUAAUUAGACAUAUAUUUUUCUGUUAUGUUUAGUUGUUUAUAACAUAACAGAGCUUGUUUAUAUGUCAAAAUAAUAUAUUUAUGUUUACGUAAUAUAUAAAAACUUUAUUUAAACAUAUGACUGCAAUCGAAAGUACAAUAAUUUGUUAUAAAAAUAUUAUUUUUAAAUAAUUAGUAAAAGUAAUGAAAAUAUAUGUGAUGUUAUUUAGUUCUACAUUACAGUUUAGAUUUAUAUAUUGCAGCAGUA